rnacentral:rRNA from 1 species
AACGAACGCUGGCGGCGUGCCUAACACAUGCAAGUCGAGCGCGAAAAGGGCAACCUGAGUUGAGCGGCGCACGGGUGCGUAACACGUGGGUAAUCUGCCUUAGAGUCGAGGAUAACCUUCCGAAAGGUUGGCUAAUACUCGGUAAGCUUACGGUGUCUUCGGACGCUGUGGGAAAAGUAGGCCUCUGUUUACAAGCUUACGCUCUGAGAUGAGCCCGCGGCCCAUCAGCUAGUUGGCGGUGUAACGGACCACCAAGGCAACGACGGGUAGCUGGUCUGAGAGGACGAUCAGCCACACUGGAACUGAGACACGGUCCAGACUCCUACGGGAGGCAGCAGUGGGGAAUUUUCCACAAUGGGCGAAAGCCUGAUGGAGCAACGCCGCGUGUGUGAUGAAGGUUUUCGGAUCGUAAAGCACUUUCGACCGGGACGAAAAACCUCUGGCUAACAUCCAGGGGCCUGACGGUACCGGGAGAAGAAGCACCGGCUAACUCUGUGCCAGCAGCCGCGGUAA